rnacentral:siRNA from 1 species
AAUAAUUUCAGGAUAGGUGAC